CCUAUAACUGCGUGGCAGGGGGAGGCGUUGGCCGGGUUUGCAGAGGCUGAGCCUAUGCUAGACUCGUCUUGUUUCCCGCCAUGGCUGACGCUAUUCAUGCCUUGACUGAAAGGUGCUUGGGAUCUUCCAAAGGCAUUCACAGCAUCCAUCUCAGCCUUGGACCCUGAAGGAAAAGCGAUCCCACACGCAGGACCAAUUCUGCCGCAACCAGCCCUCCCCCGCCCCUCCAUCCUACGGUGGCAGACCAGAGCCAGCGCUGCUUAUUACAGCCUUUACCUCCAGGUGUCACUGCAGAA
rnacentral:lncRNA from 1 species